rnacentral:rRNA from 1 species
CCCUUAGAUGUUCUGGGCUGCACGCGUGCUACACUGAUAUUGCCAAUAUGUCAUUCUUAUCCGAGAUGGAUUGGGUAAUCAAGUAAUGAAAUUUCAUGCUUGGAAUCGGUAAUUGCAAUUUUAUCGUGAACGAGGAAUUCCUAGUAAGCACUAGUCAUCAGCUAAUGUUGAUUAUGUCCCUGCCCUUUGUACACACCGCCCGUCGCUACUACUGAUUGGGUGUUCAAGUGAGAUGCUUAGACCCUUGUUGCAUGGUUCAUUAUUGUGCUCCGAAAGGAAAAAGUUUCAAGCUUGAGUGUCUAGAGGAAGUAAAAGUCGUAACA